UACAGAGGGUGCAAGCGUUAAUCGGAAUUACUGGGCGUAAAGCGUGCGUAGGUGGUUUGUUAAGUUGGAUGUGAAAUCCCCGGGCUCAACCUGGGAACUGCAUCCAAAACUGGCAAGCUAGAGUAUGGUAGAGGGUGGUGGAAUUUCCUGUGUAGCGGUGAAAUGCGUAGAUAUCGGAAGGAACACCAGUGGCGAAAGCGGCUUCCUGGUCCAGCACCGACGUUCAGGCACGAAAGCGUGGGGAGCAAACAGG
rnacentral:rRNA from 1 species